AGUGUGGUAAAAGACAGAAGGCUAAUGGAGGGCUUUAAAGAGGUGGAUAAAGCAGCAUGAAAGGAAGGUGACUUUACCAGGAGUACUUAAGCCAGACUGUAUGUCUAUCCAGAUGUUCCUUUCAAGCCUACAUGACUUAAAAUCUGCCCCAGGAGUCUGAUCAAAGUGCUCUGCAAAGUCAAAUGAGCAUUGUCAUCCCCAUGUUACAGAAGAGGAAACAGAAGCACAGAGAAGUUAACUGAUUUUCCUGAUGUCACAGAACAAGUUAAUGGCAGAGCCAGGAGCAGAAUGCGGGUAUCCUGAAGCCCAUUCUGGUGCCUUAACAUAGGACCAUGCUGCCUCCCAGAAAGAAGAAACUGCUUCCCUGCCUACUGCUCCCCAACAAUGCUGAUAUAUGGGGCCUGGGAAUCAAACCUAGGUCUCAUAUAUCACAGGUUGCUAAGCCACGCAGUUGAUCACAAAAAUGUAAAAUACAUUGUAUGUUGUGUACUAUUAAUAUUGCAAUUAAGUUAAAUGAGUAAAAUAAAUGUUUGAGACCCAAAAUGAGUAAAAUAUAUGUUUGAGGCCCAAUAUGGUACAUUUUAUAAUGAAAUUAAUUCUCUGUAUAUUUUAUUAAGUAUAAUACAGUGUGGUAAGGCUUCUGAUAUGAAUCAGUCUGCAGUGGUUCAGGAGAAUGAUGAAAAUGUCCAGCAGUCUUUUCAGUCCCCCCAUAUUUAUAAAGGAAAUGCUAUUAUUAAAUAAAACAGCAAAUGCAUCAGUGUAUCCAGGAAAGAUCAAAUCAAAUGAGUCAGAACAGGCAGGGUAUUGCAAUUCAGAGCUUAAAGAGGUAACUAACCAUAGCCCAUAUCCUCAGCACAACACUGAGGCCCAGUGACUCAGCUGGCAGCUAGGAAAAUCCAGGGAGAUGGCGGAAGAACAAAGAUGAAAUAAACCUCCUUACGCUGUAAAAAAUAAAAGGGGCUAUUCUGUGACCACUGCUCCAGUGGAAUGACAGGAAAGGUGGCCCUUUGCCGUCCCCUGCAUGGAUGCAUGGUGCUAAUGACAGGAGAAUCUCUUUAUAUGGCUCCAAGCCACUUAGCCUCUGCCCAGCCUCCUUAUAAGACACACAUAAGAGCACAGGUAGCUUGUGUGUAACUGAAUUCCUUAUCUCACAGGGACUCACAUGCAUUCCCUAGCUGUGUGGAGGAGCAGCGCACAUACAAUUCCCUUCUUCCCCAGUAUGCAUCUUCCCUAGGGGCGCCUCAGGGAACUUUCUGCAGGCAGGGCAGGGUGGGAGGUAGGAGGGGGAGCUCCUGAUUCCUCUCCACUUUGGGUUCCAGAGUUGAGAUCUGUGCACAGAUGGCUCCUUUCACAUGCAAAUUCCAAGGACACAAGCUGGCCCUAAGUAAGGAUCCCUAAGUAAAGGAUUUGUACCUAAUCAUAGGGGCUGGAACUAGGGAUGCUGGGGGUGCACCCCCAGCUUAAAAUGGUUUCCAUCAUAUGCAGUGUUUAUAGUUUGGUUCAUUGACUCACAGCACCCCCUCUAUACAAAUUGUCCCAGCACUCCUGGCUCUAAUGGGAGUUUUACCGGAGAAAGGACAGAGUAAAUCUGGCUAAGCCCCAGGAGUGGCCUUGUGUUUCAUCAGGAGAGUGACAGUGCUUUAAAAUGUCCAGCUUGCUUGUCUUGCUAAUCUAAAAAAUAUAAUAAUUCCCUCCCUUUUUAAUAGGCUAAAUUCACCUCUCGGGGACACCGGAGCAGCUCCCUUUGACCCAGGUGUGAGCUUAGACCAGGACAGAGUUUGGUCUUCACCAUCUAAUUAUCCAGAGACAACAUGAAAAGACACACAAUUUUCCUUUGACACGUCUCCAUAUUUUUUUCUUCCUUUAUCCAGUAUUUAAUCACUGUCCUGAUUCUGAAGUGAAUAAUACAAGAGACUCAGUGGGAAGACAAACAAAUUUGUUAGAGCUUUUUCUGUUUCUUUUUGUAAGCUUCCUGUUAGCUUAAGCACAUUGUGUUCCUCUGUAUCACAUCCCUUUAGAGCCAUAUGUGGAAGUAAUAAAGUGUAUCC